CCCCUCACAAAAAUGAUUGCUGGCGGCUGUGUUCUUACACUGACUGUACAAAACGGGGAGGCAGAGCAAGCCUACUCCAUGCACGCCUCAGCUCAGCCUUGUGCCUGGUCUGUGUUGUGAAAGGGGGACGUGG